rnacentral:rRNA from 1 species
UACGAAGGGUGCAAGCGUUGUUCGGAAUUAUUGGGCGUAAAGGGUUCGUAGGCGGGAUUGUAAGUCAAGUGUGAAAUCCCCGAGCUUAACUCGGGACGUGCAUUUGAAACUAUAAUUCUUGAGUGAUAGAGAGGGUAGUGGAAUUGUUGGUGUAGGAGUGACAUCCGUAGAGAUCAACAGGAACAUCAGAGGCGAAAGCGGCUACCUGGCUAUAUACUGACGCUGAGGAACGAAAGUGUGGGGAGCAAACAGG